GAUGAACGCUGGCGGCGUGCCUAAAACAUGCAAGUCGAGCGGUAAGGCUCUGCACUUAGUGUUUGAUCGAUGUAGCCAUUUAUGGCUGCUACAGUUGACCAAUCUGAACCUUGGCGGGGGAAGAGCGGAACAGGAAGAUCGAAUGAUAAGUGUAGAGUACACGAGCGGCGGACGGGUGAGUAACGCGUGGGAACCUACCC
rnacentral:rRNA from 1 species